rnacentral:rRNA from 1 species
AUGGCGAGGUCACGGGUCGUCAUGGACAAACUUGAACAAGAACUCGAUGCCAUGCAUUCUGCUGAAAACGGAGGUGUCGCGGACAAUGAAGCCAUUGAGCAGGAUAUUGCUACAAUGUUAUCCGAGAUGAACCAUCUGGGAGCUAUUGACCCAUUCGACAACGAGGAAGAGGAGCAACAGCAACCAGAGCUUGCCCAUGUGCACACUCAAGAGCACCAACAUGCUCAGAUGCAAGAUCAUGAGCUUGAUGGUGCUGUAGGCGAACGACAUGACAACAGGACAUCCUACCAGCAGCAGCAGGAAAGGGUGAUUAAACCACCCAUAUUCUCAAACACAAAGGGGAGGAAGAGUAAGACACAAGCAACGAAAGCAGUGAAAGCAGCAGCCAAAAAGCUGCCACGCCCCGUCAAGCGUGUGGAAUUUGGCCCGGACGGCAAACCUCUCAGGGUGAGGGCAUGUGGAUUCUACAACGUCGUGAGCAACCAUAAUUAUCGCACAUGCACACUCCGCACAGAUGGCACUGUCAACAAGCAAACGCUGCACAAGCAGAUUGGAGCUGCCCAAGUUUCUACCAAUGGAGACGACACACGUGACAAGCGGAUGCUGAACAAGUCUGGUUUGGAGAUCAACCCCAACAACUUCAUCGACAUGCAGCGCAAGUGGAAAGAUCCAAAGACCGACAAAUACUACGACUCCUUGGCCGAUGUUGUAGGCGGUGUAAUCCACCCAUUCUACAGCGGCAUGAAGAAGAAGAUGGACAAGGCAGACCACAAACUAUGGGGGACCAGCCCGCUGCCAGACAACCUCAUCACGUACACAGGAAUAGAUGCGUACGCCACGUACAAGUCAUGGAAGACAAUCGACAACACCGUGACAGGUUGGGAUAUUUCAAAAGAGCAGGAGGCUGACCCCUACUACCACUGCAGCUUCGUGGGAUGA